UGAUGGCAGUGAUGAUUCCUGUGAUAAUGCUUUCCUGAUGUAUAAACUGAGGGUUGCACAGUCACUACCUCUUCUGAUGCCAUCU